rnacentral:rRNA from 1 species
AUACCCUAUUAUUUAUACUAUAAAUUGGUAGUAAAAUUAUAAAAACCUUUAUAUUAUGGUGGCAUUUCAUUUUAUUAGAGGAGUAUGUUUAAUAAUCGUAAUUACACGAUUACUUUUACUUCUACUAAUAUUUUAUAUACCGCCGUUUAAAAUAAAUAUAAAAAUUUUAUUUUUAAAAAAAUUCUAAAAACUUAGGUAAAGGUGUAAACUAUGUAAAAGUUUAAAUGUUCUACAUUAAAUAAAAAUUUAAGGAAUAAUAUAACUAUAUAUUAAGAAAAGGGAUUUAUAAGUAUUAUUUUAUUAAUAUUAAAAUUUGAAUAAAAAAAUAAAUGUGC